GCCACGGUGGUCUAGCGGUUAGAACGCUGGCCUUGUAAUCCUAGAGUCUCGGGUUCGAUUCCUGGCGGUGCCC
rnacentral:tRNA from 1 species